UUCAUCGAAAGUCGAAACCCAAAUCUCCGUAACUCAUUUCACAAAAAAAAUUCACUCAGUGUUCUCCUCUCACAAAAAACACUUUCACCCCAUUAAACCCUAAACUGCGAUUUCUCACCUCUCUCGUCUAACAAUUCAUCUGCGAAAUUCUCAAAUUUGUAUCACCGUCUCCAUUUCCGACGGCUAUCGGAAGAGGAUUCUCUCACCAUUGAUGUCGAUUUCACUGUUAUCGGAAGAGGAUGAUGUCGAAGUCAGAUCUUGCAACUGACAAUUGUUUUUCUUCUGGCAGCACGGUAAUGAUUCCGGCGGCGAAACUUCAUCUACAAAACGAUAGUGUUCGGCUGUGGUGUUUUUCUCUUUCACCGAAGGGUACAAAUUUAGGGUUCGGUUGUGGUCUUCAUCUUAGACGCUUAAACCACAAUAAGCUCACAGGACCUAUCCCAAGAGAACUUACUCAUCUUAAAAAUCUCAAAAUUCUUGAUUUUCUUAUAAUAACCUCUGUGGAACAAUACCAGUAGAUGGUAACUUUGGAUCUUUCCCAGCAGAAAGAUUCGACCAGUGUUUAGUCUCUUCACUGUCAUUAAAAGGAGUCAAGGAUGCUGGAUAUGAGAAAAUGACGGUUGUGCAGGAGGAAACCCUUCUAGUAAUUCUUAAAGGCAAGGAUGUCCUAGCCACGGCUAAAACAGGCACGGGAAAAACAGUAGCCCUUUUUGGUAAGUCUCUUAAAUUUCUGUUAGUUUGGGCGAAUUAGUAAUUAGUGGCCUCUCUGAUAAUCAUCACUAGCAUUUUUCUUCAUAUUUUGUCUACUUUGAGCAUCAUUUAAAGUAAGGUAAAGUGAAUGUGUAAAUACCUGUACACUGCGAUAAGGCAAAUAGUCAAACAAAUGAGAAGAUUCUGAACUAUUCCUACAACACCAAACUUCUUGAUGCAGUGUAUUAGGAAUUUUUUUAUACUGUUUUAACAAUCAGUCAGAACUAUAUUUAAGGAUUAAAUACUAUUUUAAAUAUAUUGCUAUGAAAAGGGAUUUUGAAUAUAUUAAUACAAUACAGGAGGGUAGUGAGGAUACACAGGCACAGGUAUUGUUUGUAAUUUCAUGUUAGUAAUAACUCUUUAGAUACUUACAUGUGUAUAUGCAUAUGCAUCCAUCAUAGAACAUUUUUUGGAUCUUUAUUUAUGGUGCUUUGGAUCAUUUCAGGUCUGCCAAAUGCAUUUAGUUGCACCAUUAGAGAAGCAUUUCCCUUUACUCUAUACUAUUCUGCAGGAGCACAUUGCAGAUGAUGUUGACUAUAAGUGAAACUGAGACAGCGUGGAAUUGGUGGAGUUGUCAUUGGAACCCAACAAGUUUGUUCGGCCUGAGACAAUGUGGAAUUGGUGGAGUUGUCAUUGGAACACAACAAGUUUGUUCGGCCUCUUCUUGACUACAGGCUUUUGACUUAGAUGGUUGUUGUGAAUUUGUUUGGACUUCAUGUAAAAUAUAUGAUUUUGUUAGUUGUUCUUUGCUUCAGUAGUUUUGUUAGUUGUCAACUAGUGAAUACAUUUUUGGAUUGUAUGUUGAUAUGCUUUUCUUGAUUAAUACAUAAUUCUCUCUUAUUUUUA